GCACUAAUAGCUUAAUUAAAGCACUGAUCUUGUAAGUCAGAGAUUGAAGGUUAAACUCCUCCUUACUGCU
rnacentral:tRNA from 1 species